rnacentral:rRNA from 1 species
CCUCUGAUUCAGCGGCGGACGGGUGAGUAACACGUGGGCAACCUGCCUGUAAGACUGGGAUAACUUCGGGAAACCGGAGCUAAUACCGGAUAACUCAUAAGACCACAUGGUCUUAUGAUAAAAGAUGGUUUCGGCUAUCACUUACAGAUGGGCCCGCGGCGCAUUAGCUAGUUGGUGAGGUAACGGCUCACCAAGGCGACGAUGCGUAGCCGACCUGAGAGGGUGAUCGGCCACACUGGGACUGAGACACGGCCCAGACUCCUACGGGAGGCAGCAGUAGGGAAUCUUCCGCAAUGGACGAAAGUCUGACGGAGCAACGCCGCGUGAGCGAUGAAGGCCUUCGGGUCGUAAAGCUCUGUUGUUAGGAAAGAACAAGUAUCAGUUAACUACUGGUACCUUGACGGUACCUAACGAGAAAGCCACGGCUAACUACGUGCCAGCAGCCGCGGUAAUACGUAGGUGGCAAGCGUUGUCCGGAUUUAUUGGGCGUAAAGCGCGCGCAGGCGGUUCUUUAAGUCUGAUGUGAAAGCCCCCGGCUCAACCGGGGAGGGUCAUUGGAAACUGGGGAACUUGAGUGCAGAAGAGAAGAGCGGAAUUCCACGUGUAGCGGUGAAAUGCGUAGAGAUGUGGAGGAACACCAGUGGCGAAGGCGGCUCUUUGGUCUGUAACUGACGCUGAGGCGCGAAAGCGUGGGGAGCAAACAGGAUUAGAUACCCUGGUAGUCCACGCCGUAAACGAUGAGUGCUAAGUGUUGGAGGGUUUCCGCCCUUCAGUGCUGCAGCUAACGCAUUAAGCACUCCG